rnacentral:lncRNA from 10 species
CUCAAAGUGCCCCGUUUCUCUACAGCAAAUUAGACUUUUUGCCUACUUUGGUGCUGAGAAGCCCAAACUACCAACCAAAGCUUUGGUUUUCUCUGAGGGCUGUCGGUACAGACGAGAGGCCGGGAUUGUUCUCUAGCAACCCCUGCCGGUUGACAAUAAAUGCCAGAAACUGACCCAGAGGCAUUAGUUCAUCCCCACGUUGGAGGGAAGUAAAAAAUGUCAGGCUGAGGGAGAGCAGGUAGCACCUGAACGGCUAAAACGUAGAUACGUCCGUGACCCAACUUCAACCAACCACGCAACGUCAAUGACCCAGGGGAUGCUGGAGCAACAGGAAGGAAGGAAUUGAUUGAACAAUCACGUGGAGCAAAGCCACGUUGUUAUUUAGGGCUACUACUUAAAUCAGAGAUCAUCUCUGUCUUCUUUAAGCCACUUCAGUUUGGAGGCUUUUUGUUCUAACAGGUUAGUGUUUACCUAAACUAGUGCGACAUCGCCCUUCUCAUUAGCAUUCCUGCCUCCCUUUCAAUCUUAUCAGUAGUCACAUCUCCAAAUGCUCCCUGUCCUCCAAAUAUAAAUUAUAAAUCUUCCAAUUCUGUAGUAAGACCACACAUAAAAACACUUUCCUGCCUUUUUACAGAUGGUGUUGUUAACUGCCUCCCCGCCAUUCAUUCUCCCUUCUCCUGGCAACAAUAUUUUGAUACCCCUUGGAGGAACUUACCUCUCUCUCAUUCUUUGCCAUGUGAUUAGAAUGGG